rnacentral:rRNA from 1 species
UCGAGAAUUUUUCACAAUGGGCGCAAGCCUGAUGGAGCGACGCCGCGUGGGGGAUGAAUGGCUUCGGCCCGUAAACCCCUGUCAUUUGCGAACAAAUUGGUUCAAUUAACACCUGAACCAUUGAUAGUAGCGAAAGAGGAAGCCACGGCUAACUACGUGCCAGCAGCCGCGGUAAUACGUAGGUGGCAAGCGUUGUCCGGAUUUACUGGGCGUAAAGAGCGCGCAGGCGGUCGUGCAAGUCGCGUGUGAAAGCCCCCGGCUCAACUGGGGAGGGUCACGCGAUACUGCUCGACUUGAAGGCAGGAGAGGGAAGUGGAAUUCCCGGUGUAGUGGUGAAAUGCGUAGAUAUCGGGAGGAACACCAGUGGCGAAGGCGACUUCCUGGCCUGUUUUUGACGCUGAGGCGCGAAAGCUAGGGUAGCAAA